GUUGUUUGUGAUGUUAUCUAGGUAAUUUGAUUGCACGAAUAUGUUCGUAGAAUGUUUUUGAAGUUAUGUGUAUAUUUGUGGAGUUUCGAGGGUCCGGGUGAGUUUCAGGUAGGUUCCGGGAUGCCUUAGGAUUAGAAAUCAGAUAUCGCAUGUUCAGGAAGAUACAUGCCUCUAAAACCUCUUGCACGGUCCACGAGAAAUUUUAUGCAACCG
rnacentral:lncRNA from 1 species